rnacentral:sRNA from 1 species
GUCGACUGUUAUAACAGAGAAAAACACUUAUAAUGUGAUAGAUUAUGGUGCUCAUGGUGAUGGCAAGUCAGAUGAUUCCAGGGCUUUUGAGAGUGCAUGGAAAGAUACAUGUGGAACAAAAGGAACACCAACUCUUAUUAUACCACAAAAAGGAGCAUUCUUGCUGAAAGGCAUAGCCCUCAAUGGUCCGUGCAUUGCCACAAAAGUUAAUAUUAAGCUUCAAGGAAAAAUUGUUGCACCUAGCAAAGAUGAAUGGGUAAAAGGUAGA